rnacentral:rRNA from 1 species
UACGUAGGUGGCAAGCGUUGUCCGGAAUUAUUGGGCGUAAAGCGCGUGUAGGCGGUCCGGUAAGUCCGCUGUGAAAGUCGGGGGCUCAACCCUCGAAUGCCGGUGGAUACUGUCGGGCUAGAGUACGGAAGAGGCGAGUGGAAUUCCUGGUGUAGCGGUGAAAUGGCGCAGAUAAUCAGGAGGAACACCGAUGGCGAAGGCAGGUCUCUGGGCAUUAACUGACGCUGAGGAGCGAAAGCAUGGGGAGCGAACAGG